AACGAACGCUGGCGGCAUGCCUAACACAUGCAAGUCGAACGAGACCUUCGGGUCUAGUGGCGCACGGGUGCGUAACGCGUGGGGACCUGCCCUUAGGUUCGGAAUAACUCCCCGGAAGGGGUGCUAAUACCGGAUAAUGUCUUCGGACCAAAGAUUUAUCGCCUUUGGAUGGGCCCGCGUUGGAUUAGCUAGUUGGUAGGGUAAAAGCCUACCAAGGCGACGAUCCAUAGCUGGUCUGAGAGGAUGAUCAGCCACACUGGGAUUGAGACACGGCCCAGACUCCUACGGGAGGCAGCAGUGGGGAAUAUUGGACAAUGGGCGAAAGCCUGAUCCAGCAAUGCCGCGUGAGUGAUGAAGGCCUUAGGGUUGUAAAGCUCUUUUACCCGGGAUGAUAAUGACAGUACCGGGAGAAUAAGCUCCGGCUAACUCCGUG
rnacentral:rRNA from 1 species